rnacentral:hammerhead_ribozyme from 1 species
AUUCAGUUGAUGAGUCCCAAAUAGGACGCAAUGCGCGUCAAACUGGAU